rnacentral:misc_RNA from 1 species
GAGGGAUAAAAAAGUGGAAAUGAUCAAAUCAACUCAAGAUGAGGAUAUGAAUUCAUCUUCAUUUUAGUGGCAGAGAUGAAAAGGUGGAAACCCUCAUAUCAACUUAAACAUUUGUGAGAUGGACUCUGAAAGGGCCAAAACUGGUUGACUCUUAAGAUCAUCAUCACAUAUACAUGUAAAUUUUGUGUGCCUCCAACGGUUUUAAUUUA